GCUGUGACACCAAACAAGAUAUAAAUAUAAGAAGCAUAAUCUGAAGGCCUGAUCCAAGCAGGUUGUCAGUCUGGUGUCAUAAAGGCUGGGUGCUGCAGGUCUGAGUCUGAACCUCCACCCAGCAGAAACCCAGCUGGUGGAGACAGGACCAGCUGGUUCAUGGUGGAUCUGAGCAGGACCAGGGCCUCGUCGCAUCCCAGGAGGAAGAAUUCUGAUGUGGCUUCAUCAGCGACUCCAGCAGGAUGGAGAAAUGCCUGAAGACCAGGAGAGCAAAGCUCCAGGUUCCUCCACCUGCUCCUGU